rnacentral:tRNA from 1 species
GCGAGAGUGGCGGAAUUGGCAGACGCGCUGGACUUAGGAUCCAGUGGAGCGAUCCGUGGGGGUUCGAGUCCCUUCUCUCGCACCA